GCCUGGGUGGCUCAGUCGGUUGAGCGUCCGACUUCGGCUCGGGUCACGAUCUCACGGUUCGUGAGUUCGAGCCCCGCGUCGGGCU
rnacentral:tRNA from 1 species